UUGAACAUACAUACUAUAACAAACAGCGAUUACAUUAUUGUAAUGACUGUCCAUAUUUAUCGAACUGACGCUGCGUACACAUCUUGCUGCAUCCCAAAAUUUAUAUUUUUAUCAUUAUUACAAGAAGAUAAAAAAAUUUUAUGCUUAAAAAAUUAAGUUAAUGUAUUCAAUUCAACUUAUACAAACAUAAUAUCUGUACAUGUUCGUAGUAUAACAAUAUUUACAAUAUUUAUAAUGUAUAUUUUUUGAGCCACGCCCUUCAACCUUCAGAAAUACUGUCAUGCCUGGACGAAGACUUUGAACAUACUUCUUUUCCACCUUUGGAAAGGGCCGUAACAUUCAGAUCACGCCGCAUGACAUAAAGCAUGCUCUACAAGGCCAUGCUAAAGAUGAAAGUGCUUAUCUCCCUACUGGCACCUGGGGAACACUUUGCCAGUCUUUGCAAAUUCCAAAUUCUCUUUGCAACAAAGUAAGAUUGAAAAACAUUGCACAGGCCCACCUACAGGUAAUAUUUCAACGAGAGAACAGGG